AACGAACGCUGGCGGCGCGCCUAACACAUGCAAGUCUCACGAGAAACCCUGUAGCAAUACAGGGCGGUAAAGUGGCGAACGGGUGAGUAAUGCGUGGGUAACCUACCUCCGAGAUGGGGAUAACCCGCCGAAAGGCGGGCUAAUACCGAAUAAGACCACAUGCCGACAGGCACGGGGUAAAGGUGGCCUAGGGUCCGCAAGGGCUAUGCUGCCGCUUGAAGAAGGGCUCACGUCCCAUCAGCUU
rnacentral:rRNA from 1 species